UACGGGGGGGAGCAAGCGUUGUUCGGAUUUACUGGGCGUAAAGGGCGCGUAGGCGGCGCAACAAGUCACUUGUGAAAUCUCCGGGCUUAACCCGGAGCGGUCAAGUGAUACUGCCGGGCUCGAGUCCGGAAGAGGCGAGUGGAAUUCCCGGUGUAGCGGUGAAAUGCGCAGAUAUCGGGAGGAACACCAAUGGCGAAGGCGAGCCCC
rnacentral:rRNA from 1 species